rnacentral:rRNA from 1 species
GUUAGCCAUGCAUGUGUAAGUACAGCCUGAAAAAGCUGAAACCGCGAAUGGCUCAUUAAAUCAGUUACAAUCUAUUAGUUUACCGUCGCGCUAUAUGAAUAACUCUGCUAACCGUAGAGCUAAUGCAUGCAGAUCGCGCUUGCAAAUUCUCCUCCUAAUCGGGGCAAUCUGAACUUUUAUUGGAUCAGCAGACGUCGGCAAGGGGGCAGUAGUUCCACCGCGUACAUGAACUAUGUUCGUAACUGACCGAUCCCAGAAGGCUACUGAGCCGGCGACGAAACUUUCAAGUGUCUGAGCUAUCAACUUACGACGGUAGGGUAACGGCCUACCAUGGUUGUAACGGCUAACGGGGAAUCAGGGUUCGAUUCCGGAGAGGCAGCCUGAGAAACGGCUACCACAUCCAAGGAAGGCAGCAGGCACGCAAAUUACCCACUCUCGGCACGAGGAGGUAGUGACGAGAAAUAACACUAUAAACCUUAAUGGUUUGUAAGUGGAAUGGUAUGGAUCUAUAGAAUCCAUAGAUUAACGAGUAGAGGGCAAGUCUGGUGCCAGCAGCGCGCUAAUACCAGCCUCUACAAGCGUAUGCAACGAUUGCUGCGUUUAAAAAGCUCAUAGUUGGAUCUGUUACGGUGUACGGUCAACUAGUGAACUAUUGUUGUAUCAUACCUGCUACAACAACACUAGCGUAAUGCUCGUACCUUCGCAUCGUCUAGAUUGUUUGCACUUCACCGUGUCGAACUCUCAAACGGUGUUACACUUUGAGAAAAUUAGAGUGUUCAAAGCGUCCUUUGGGAUUGAAUAAUAAAGCAUGGAAUAAAGGAGAAUGACCCGCGUUUCUUGAAGCAGGUUUGCGGAAAUGCGGUAAUGAUUAAAAGGAACAGGCGGGGGCAUUUGUAUUGCUAGGUUAGAGGUGAAAUUCUUGGAUCCUAGCAAGACAAACUACUACUGCGAAAGCAUUUGCCAAGAAUGUUUUCAUUAAUCAAGAACGAAAGUCAGAGUAUUGAAGAGGAUUAGAUACCCUCGUAAUUCUGACCUUAAACUAUACCAACUUACGACUUGCCAAAGUCAUACCAUGACUUGGCAAGAAGUUAACCGGGAAACCAAAGUUUAUUGGUUCCGGGGGAAGUAUGGUUGCAAAAUUGAAACUUAAAGGAAUUGACGGAAGGGCACCACCAGGAGUGGAGCCUGCGCUUAAUUUGACUCAACACGGGAAAACUCACCGGGUCCAGACAUCUUAAGGAUUGACAGAUUGAAUCUCUUUCAUGAUUAUAUGGGCGGUGGUGCAUGGCCGUUCUUAGUUAGUGGAGUGAUCUGUCUGGUUAAUUCCGAUAACGAACGAGAUCUCACUCAUUUUAAUAGUAAAUGUCACUUAAUGUGGCAUAAUACUUCUUAGAGGGACUAAGCAGAAUUAAAUACUGCUAGUGAAGUGAGACUAUAACAGGUCUGUGAUGCCCUUAGAUGUUCUGGACGCACGCGCGCUACAAUGUGUGCUUCAAUAUGAUAAAUCCUUUGACCGAGAAGGUCUGGGAAAUCACAAAAGGACAUUCCUAAAGGGGAUCGACUAUUGUAACUAGUAGUUGUGAACCAGGAAUUCCUAGUACGUAGAAGUCAACAACUUCUACAGAUUACGUCCCUGCCCUUUGUACACACCGCCCGUCGCUACUACUGAUUGGGUAGAAAAGCAACACACUCGGAAACUUUCUUCCCUUGCUCCGGCUUGGGAUUAAAGUGGAA